AUUGAACGCUGGCGGCAUGCCUUACACAUGCAAGUCGAACGGCAGCGGGGGAGAAGCUUGCUUUUCCUGCCGGCGAGUGGCGAACGGGUGAGUAAUACAUCGGAACGUGCCCAGUAGUGGGGGAUAGCCCGGCGAGAGCCGGAUUAAUAACGCACACGACCUAAGGGUGAAAGCGGGGGAUCGAAAGAACUCGCGCUAUGGGAGUGGCCGUGGUCAGAUUAGGUAGGUGGUGGGGUAAAGGCCUACCAAGCCGACGAUCUGUAGCUGGUCUGGGAGGACGACCAGCCACACUGGGACUGAGACACGGCCCAGACUCCUACGGGAGGCAGCAGUGGGGAAUUUUGGACAAUGGGGGAAACCCUGAUCCAGCCAUGCCGCGUGCGGGAAGAAGGCCUUCGGGUUGUAAACCGCUUUUGUCAGGGAAGAAAUCCUUUGAGCUAAUACCUCGGAGGGAUGACGGUACCUGAAGAAUAAGCACCGGCUAACUACGUGCCAGCCGCCGCCAGUAAGAC
rnacentral:rRNA from 1 species